rnacentral:lncRNA from 1 species
ACAUACGAACUUGAUGUAUUACCUGUGGAGUUCAGGCCUAACAUCUGCCGUACUUGUUUUGGAACAAACCUGAACGCUAGAUUGGUAAAUUACUAAACUUAAUCCUUCUUUAUUGAAUCACUGUUGUAUAUGCCAUCAUGAUCAUAAGUCUGUUUAUAUUGAUUUUACUAAUGAUAUAUUCGUUAGUAUAUAUAUAUAUAUAUUUUAAGUUGAAUCUAUGAUUUACCAUUAUGAUCAUCAUCAUGAUUUACCAUUAUGGUGUUAUGCUCUGAUAUGUAAUGCAGGCCUUUGCAAAUUAUGGCAACGAUUGCAGCAUGUGUAAACGCAAAUUUAGAGUUGUGAAGUGGCCAAAUACUUACAAACGCAACACAACUACCCAGAUUUGUAAUUCAUGUAGUGAGCAGAACAAUGUUUGCAGGGUUUGUGGCCAAGCCUGCCUAGAAGAAAAUUCAACUGUGCCAAUUCGAGUGCGACAAGAAACUGCCAUGCUUCACUCAAAAAACGAGGAUGAUGAUGAAGAUCUACGAGAAAGUAGCCCCGGACAUAGACCAGGCCCAUUCUCAUAUUUUUGCUGAGUGGAGAUGAGUGAACUUUUGGCUGUAAUAGAGUCGUGCAGUAGUAAUUGACACUUUCUCAUAUACUACCAAUCCUUACUUUAUGUUUCAUUUGUAAUUAAGUUUGCAUUUGAUUAAUGAAUUAAUGUUACAGGCUAUAUGUGUUUUUGUUUGUCCAAGCCAUGUUCUCUCUUUUUUCUUAACUUUUGACUAAGGGGCACACAUGUGCCCCUCCUUUAUUUUUUUUUUCAAUAUGCAAAGGCAAUAAGACCCUCUAGCUUUUUGUGAUUCUAUGAAUUACCACAUCCAUUCAUUAUAUUUAUGACAGAUCUCAAAGCAAAGUGUUAGAUAUGAAAUAUUUAUAUAUAUAUAUGUAUUUAUUUCUAUGUUGUUUUGCUAAAUCGGGUUUUUCUUUACCAGGCCCUUCCAGGUACUUUGGUCUUACUGUUUUUCAGAUCAGUGUAGGCAAUUUUAGAUUGUUCUAGCAUUUUGUCCUGGAGACUGCUAGGAAUAGGUUGUGACAUAAUGCAGCAUGUAUACAGCAAAGGCUCUGCAGGUGUGACUUAGCGGAGCUAGAAGUGAUACUUCCAGGCGUAUAGCUUAACAUCAGGUGAUUACACCAUUACAGCAGGUAGAAACUGACCCUAAAAAAACACCAGAUUUCAUGUUAGGGAGAAGCUUACGAACAUAGAGGACUAGAUUUUUGGAGGAUCAAAUUCUUGAAGAGUAGGAGACCAUUCUAAUGCUAUGCCUAAUUUAAAUGGUUCCCUAUACUGUAUUAUUACUGACAGUUUGUUAGUUCCAAUGCAAUUGGAAUAGAAUAUUAUCAUAUUCUUUGGUUCAUAAUGGAAAACAAGAUGAGCGCUGGGUUUAACAGAACUCAAGGGUGUCAAUAUUCAUUGUAUUUGGGUUUUUUUUUUCCUUUUAUUUUGGUAUUUUAGUUGGUUUGUUGGUUCUUUAUUUUGGGAGCAUAGCAGAAGACUAGUUUUGGAAAAAGGAGAUAGCUUAGCUGUCGAGAGAACCAAACAGACAAAAUUGCACCAUCGACAACUAUAUAGUUUGAAACCCGUCAUAGGAGUGACUGAGUGAAGCUGAAAUAGCCAUUGACGAGUCUGAUUACUAAAGUUUUCAGCAAUAUUAUACUGAUUACACCUGAUUGUGCAAUCUACCAGGAUCAUGUUGGGCUACGCUUUUCCUCACAUAAAAAAAUUGAUAUAUAAAGAAAGACAAUGUUCUCCGGAGGGAAAACAAGCUUGCACUGCCACCAGCUCUGAAGGGGUUGUGUCCCUAUUUUCAUGGACAAUGAUUGGCAAUUUGUAUCUUUGCCAAUAAGUUUUGACGAUUGGGGCCACUGUCUAGAAUUGGGUUCAGUCAGAGCACAAUUUGUUUCCUAUUCCAGAUAGUGGAAUACUUUUUCUCCAAGGGCUCAGAAAUACACAAUAUUGAAGGUCAUUUGUGAUCUUAAAAAGAUGGGACAGAAAUUCUCUGGACAGUGAUUAUGGGGUAUGUUUUAGUCUUUGGUACUCUUUCUUAGUUAAAGUUUUUCUAUAUAUUUGUCAAUCUUGUCUUGGUCAUGUUGCAAUCACCUUGUCACCUUGUCUUAUUCUGAUAAUUAGUCAAAAUAGAAGAGGAGGAAAGGUUGUGAGCUGCAGUAGAGUUUCCCUAACCUUUUUUAAAGGAAAUGUACUAGCAUAUGGCUAUGUCCUUCGCUUCAAGGAAUUCACAUGAAGCACAUGUGCAAUUUGCUUUGAAAAGAGGUGGUCUUGCAACUAUUGCAUUUAGAGUUAAAUCCAAUCCAAGUACCCUGUGCAAUUCUAGGAAUGUGCCAUGUGUUUACGACUGUACAGGAAAAUUCAUGUACAAUAGAUCGAUGUAAAUCUCAAAUUCUUUUAUGUAGAAUGGUUAUUAUACAUAUCUGGUGCUCAUCGUUAUAAAUUUUCAUAUAACUUAUACGAAGAAACAAUAAUAUUUCUUAAAUUAUUAUAUACAAACAUAUAAUUGUAUUUGCACUCUAAUAUUUUGAAAGAGAAUAACGAUUAUAUUGAUAAUUAAGAAUUGAUAAUACAGACAUAUAAUUUAUAUUACAUUGUAAUGUAAUAUAAUUAAAUUGAAAGAGAGAGAUGAAGAAAAUUAUCAAUAACGAUUACAUACAUUUUUUAUUAUAUGUGCACUAUAAUAUUUCUUAAAUUGUGUUUAUCAUCAAAAACAAUGUAAUAUACAACAAAUUCUGAAGAAUAUGGUAGGAAACAAAGAGAACCAAAGAAAGCAAAAAAUCUCACCAUUACAGAAGAGUUGACUCCAAAUAAACGUCAACAAGCCCAAUGUAAAAAGAGACUAAUAGAAUCAAUGAGCCCAAAAAAUAAUACAACAUCAAAGAAACCCAAAAAUAAUGAAGUUUCUGAAGAGUUAGCUCCUAAUAAACGCAAAAUAGCGCAACGUGAAAAGAAGAUAAGAGAAAAAGGACAAAUAUUGAAGAAUACAAGCAAUGAUGGAUUAAGGUUUGUUAUUCUAAAUAUUAUUUUAUAUUUUUUAUAUAUAAUUGGCAGAAAAUAUUUUGUUAUCAUGUAGACCUAAGCAAGCCACAACGGGUUUUAGGAUCUACUUGCAACAAUCACACAUUUAGUCAGCGACAAUUUUACCAAUUUAGGCGUCAUAUUAACUAAUAUAGAUAAGACAUUGUACUGCAUCUACAUUUAGAUUAUACCCGUGCCUUCACUAAUAAUUAUCCCUGUCACACAUCUGACCCCGACUGUGCAACAAGAAAUAGUCUUACUGGGAACAGUUUAUCCUCAAAGUAGUUUGUCAGAUAUUACACGUUGGCAUCUCUUACCAUGAAAAACAAUCAUGCCGCUUCUCAUUCCAGGGCUGGGCUCUAUUCAAAUUUGCAUUGAAGCGCAACGACUAAUACACCACAAACUGUAUGGCAUUGACCAUGGUGCUUGUGGAAGGUCGAUUCUGCCUAUGCGUAUUCAAGCACAUUUCAGUUACAGCUGCAAAGACAGCUAGCCCUCUUCUAGGGUAUCUCCCAUGAAGCCUUAGGUCUACCAGGUUAUGACGCUCCCUGAACCUUAGUCUUGCCUGUAUACACAAAAUGACAAAAAUUUAGUUCCAAACUAUAUAACACCACUUGGCUUGGUGGAAGCAAAUCUCUUUUUGUCCAAAUGGCCAUAGGACCAUGUUGCAGUUAGAAAUAAGUAGUGGACCAGAUAUUGGUAUAAGCAGAACUUACUCAAGUAACCAGAACCCUAUCAGGAUAUGCUUUGCGCCCAGAGAUGAUCUCUAGCAAGAUGAUGCCAAGAUUGUACAUCUCAUCUUUUUUCUCUGUUGCUGAACCAACCCAUGCAAUCCGAAAGUUUGAAAUAUUAGCAAUAUGUCCUGUGCCAACAAGGAUCUUAUCGGACCUAAGAUUUCCGUGAAUAAUAUUCAUCUUAUGUAAGAAAUCAAGGCCUUUGAUAAUUCCCUGGGCAAUUCGAACUCUCUAAUUCCAGUCACUGAGAAAGGUGAAUUCCUCACCACCAUCUAUAAAAUGCAAUCAAAUUAAAAUUAGGAUGCAUAGAAAACAAAAUUUCCACUCCAUUUAAACUCAAGAGAAGUUCAUACUUGGUAAACAAAACACACACUAAAUUAGACACCUAUGCUCACCUUGCAAGCUUUUCCCUAAUGAUCCGAACUACAGGAGUUCAUACACAACAAACUUUUCUCUUUGGUCGGCAGAUGACCCUAGAAGCUUCACUAUAUUGAUGUGAUCUAAGUUGGUUAGUAAACAGAAUUCGUUGUAAAAUUUUUUCAGGGACCGGGGAGUGUCCGAGACAAGUUUCUUCACAACGAUUUCUUGUGAAAAUAAGGUCCCAAUUAAAAAUUUAAAAACAAAAUCAUCUAGAUAAUAAAACAAAAAUUCAUUCGACCAAAUUGUUGAAGUCAUCUCUCCUGUCGUCCCAAGACAUCCUUAUCCACUCCUUCACUGAGAUAGUUAGCUUGAGCAAAGUCAUUAUUUACACGAUAAUAUUUUGUUGCCGUGUAAACCUAAGCAAGCCACAACAGGUUUUAAGAUCUACUUGCAACAAUCACACAUUUAGUCAGCCACAACUUUACCAAUUUAGGCGUCAUAUUAACUAAUAUAGAUGAGACAUUGUACUGCAUCUACAUUUAGUCAUAUUUUUUUAACUAAUAUACAUUUAGUCAGCAACAGAAUUGGUUUUAUGUCUAAGAAAUAGAUAACUGAUGUUCACAAUUUCAUUUCAAUUAGUUUCAUUCAUCCUUUUACAGUUUUCAGUUAAUGGUCACACUAUAAUUGGUUGUUAUCUCAUAUGUUUUUAUGCAUACUACAUAGACUGCUGUAUAGACAUUGACUGAAGAAUAGAUAACUGAUAUUCUGUAGGCGUAGUUCCAUUUAUAUAUUGGCUGAUUCUUUUUAACAUAAUUUUUUUUUUUAAAUAUUUUUGCUUUUAAAAUGUAUGGUACAAUAAAUUGAUAUAUCAAUUUUCUCUAUAUUUAUUAGUCAAAUUGUUAAAUCAAACAAAUAUCAAGAAGGCCAAUGUAAACGAAGAGAAAGAGAAUUAUCUGAAAGGAAUGCAUCCAACGUAACUCAAAAUAAAGAAGCCGAACCAAAGUAAUUAGUUCACCCACGGAUAAUGUUAUUUCCACAUUGCUUUAAUUAUUAUACCGUUGAAAUUUUUCACAGAUUUUCACACAUAUUUCUUCUACGGAAAAAUAAAGCGCUCUCGAAAAAAUAAAAAAUAAAUUGAUAGACUAGAUUAUCAGCUGUAGGUAAAGGGGAAAAAAUAGUUGUCCUUCAAAUUUUGGUAAUAUCAUUAUAAUGGUUCUUCAAUGUUCAAUCUUCAUUUUUUACUUCUUCCCUAAUAUGGUAGCAAUUUUUUUUUUAUUUUGUGUUUGUUGAAAUUUAUUCAUUCAUUUUGUUAAUAACCCAUUAGGUUUUAAUUUAUGACUGGAUGGUUUGGUACCAUUAAUUCCAGUGUGGUUAGAUACUGUUCAACAGCUAAAGAAUUAGAAGCACAUCUUUUGUUGUUUUCACUGUUUAAAGUGAUUGUUUAUACCACGAAGAAACGACAAAUCCCAACCACGGAUAUAUAUGGGCCAUAACUGCUAAAGGCCUUCAAACCGGCUUAAGCAUCUGGAUAAAAAUGAUAUUUGGAAUUUAUAAAAUAUAUUAAAAAAAAAUUUAAUAAUUUUGUAAUUUCAUUAAAAAUACUAUUUGUUAUUUUUAUUUAUAAUUUCAUUGGCAAUUUACAAAACCUAAAAAUUAUUAGUAAAAUGAACGGUAUAAACUAACGUGGCAAAGCCACGGGUACAACUAGUAAAUUUAUAAAUUAUAGUGAACUAAAACUGAGCAAGAAGAUGCGUGGGUAAGGGAUUAACAUACCUUGAAUAUCUUGCACCUCUGCAAUUUAUAUCUGGUUAGAAUGUUGGUGGAGUGAGAGUAUUUAUAGGAAGGAAUUUGGGGAUUUGGAAGUAUCGUUGGCAUGAUGUGAUAAGAGUGAGGGUCUUGUGAUGACAGAGAGGUAGUUAUAGGCUUGGCUAGUGGGUAAUCUAUAUUUGUAUAAGCCAAACGUGGCGUAAGUAUUAUAGUAGACCAUGACGAUGAAAGAAGUGUGGAACAUAUGAGAAGAAUGAAGAAGGAAGAAGAAGAGUGCAGAAAGAAGAUUUUGGAAUAGAAAAUAUUUGCAGAGAAAAGGAGGAGAAUGGGACAGAUUAGGAACGGUGGGCAAAGGACUGAGUCACAAAUGGCUGCUUGGGCACACCUAUUAUGUGAAGGUUGACUGUCUUGCCCCUAAGAUUCCUUUCGAAAGUACAAAAGUAAACCAGCCUAAAAGUGCUCGAAGCAGAGAAGCUGAAUCCUGGGCGGAGAGAGACCCACGUGGAUGGCCUCACCGGGCUCUAAUCCGCUCAGCCUUUAUGAGAUAGAUAGAUAUCCUGUUUUAGAAAAGGGAAAAACAUCCAGCUAGAUUUUCUGAUUUCCAUUAUCUCAUCACUCAUCAAAUCAGAAUCAGAUCAGAUGCAGUCUCUUUUUAGGUUUUUGCUCAAAACUUCAAAAAAUCCAUUAUGAGCAAAUCAAUUGAUAUGGCUUCAAAACAACAACAAGAAGUUCAAUCUGGUGUGCCAUACUUAGGUGAAAGCCAUGAUGUUGAUGACGAUAUGUACUAUACUACCGAAGAAGAUGAUGAUGAUGGAGGGAAAUCUACUGUGCGACCGCCGCCUUAUUUUGGUAACACCCCUGUCUUUGAUGAGAUAUCGGAGUUGUAUAUUUCAGGUGAAGAUGAUAGUAUUAUUGUUCAAUAUGAUGAUGAUGUGGACGAGCUUUUUUUUAAUAUCAUGAGAAGGAAAUUUAAUCCUUCAUCCCACUCUUUCAUCUGGAGGUGUCUUUUAUUCUGGUAUUUGUUUCCAACAAAUUAUGAGUUCUAUAUGGAUGACAUUAUUCAAUUAUGGAUAGCUCAAGGCUACAUUCAUAUUCCACUCAAUCAAGUCAAAACAAUGGAGGAUAUUGGUAUUCUAUUGUUUGAAGAGUUUGGUCGCUUGCAAGUUAUCAUAUUGUCUCAUAUUGAUUCUUCAACUGGUAGAUUAAGGUACAAACUCAAUCCUACUUUUGUUGAUCAGUUACAAGGUCAACCCAAUGAAAACAACCAUUAUUAUAGAUUAGACAAUGUCAAUGCAUAUAUUUCUGAAAGCACUUUGCAUGCUUCACUUCGGGAUACCAUUGAUCUUAUUACGUUUAAGGAUUUGUACCAGGCUAAAAAACUAUACACUCUUUUGAUUCUACAUGAGCAGGGAUCUCGUCUUCACCAAAUUCCUCGUGAUCUCUUUCUGAAAUUGCCCUCAUUAAGGGCUCUUGAUUUGAGUCACACCUGCAUUACAGAGUUACCAAAUUCCAUAGGAAAUUUGGAAGAUCUUAGAUACCUUAAUCUCUCUGGGACCCUUAUAACAACACUGCCCGAGUCACUAUGCGACCUUUACCAAAUGCAAACUCUGAAACUCAAAGGUUGCUUAAAACUCCUUCGUUUGCCAAAAGGCAUGAGUAAACUAAUAAACUUACGACAUCUUGAUGUAGAUGUAUCUUGUCUGUUGGUUUCAAUGCCACCAAGAUUUGGGGAUUUAGUUGAACUACAAACACUGCCCGCAUUUUUUGUUGGUAAAGAAAAUGGAUGUCACAUAACUGAAUUAAAGAACAUGGCGAAUCUUCGGGGAACUUUUCGCAUUUUAAGGCUUGAGAAUGUAUCUGGUUCAAACGAAGCUAAGGAAGCAGCUUUGCACCAAAAGAAGUAUCUCGACAAGUUGGAGUACCACUGGACUAAGUUACAAGAUGGACUUGACCUCCUUGAAAAUCUCCAGCCUCAUGCACAAGUCCAAGAGUUGCAGAUCGUAGGCUAUGCUGGUGCCAAAUUUCCAAGUUGGAUCGGAAACCCCAUUUUCUCCAUUCUUACAGCUAUUACUAUCCAUGAUUGCAGAAACUGUCAACUCCUCCCACGUUUGGGGAAACUGCCUUCCCUCAAAACUCUAUGCCUAAGUAAUAUGGUUGCAGUUAGCACAAUCGAUGAUCAGUUUUGUGGAAGAGACACUGUUUCAAGGGUACGGGACUUUGUAAGGUUUAGAGGUAAAAGGAGUGCUUCUAACACGUCUGUGGCAUUCCGGACAUUAGAGACUCUCACACUUAAAAGCCUGCUUUCUCUGGAAGAAUGGAUUGGAAUGAAGGAACUUGACUUCCCUCACCUAGAAAAGCUUAAUAUUUCUGACUGCCCCAAGCUUACAGCUCUUCCAAAAAUUUCAUUCCUUGACAAUCUCAAAAAAUUAGAGAUUAGUUUCUGCUCAUCACUCAAAUCUUUUCCAAACGAAGGGUUACCGAUAUCACUUCAAGACCUUGUCAUUACAGAUUGCCCAGUACUAAAGGAGCAGUGUCACAAGGACAAAGGAGAAGAUUGGCGUAAGCUUGUACUUGUUCCCAAUGUAUGGAUCGAUUACCAAUUGAUCUCUCAGGUAUGAUGUUCCUAUAAACAAUUAUGCUUAGUGUAAUUUAUGCUCAAUUUUCCUUCUAUUCCAAACUAAUAUUUUUUUCCCUUUCUUUCCGUUGAUUCCAGAAUGAAGGCGAGAAGAACGAUAAACCUACUACAACUCCAUCAAAUCCCAGAAGUUUUCUAUCCAUUAUCAUCCUCAAAUACUUCAGACACAAAGGUACAACAACCCCAUUAAGACCCAUUUCUUUUUUCUAUCUCCAUGCAGAUCUCGAGUUAUCAUUUUCUUUCUGUGUUUGAUUGUUUUCAUGGAAAAUUGUUUGGGUCCUUAAAUCAAAGCUGAGAGUCCAAUACACACAUAUACUUAAAUGCCAGUCUUGAUGGGUUUUUUUUUGGUGUGUGUGUGUGUGUAAUUAGUGUUUUCUUCUCAGGUUAGUGGUUAAGGACUAAGGGGGUUAGGGUUAGUUCAAAUUCUUUUUUGGUUAUUUUUUUUAUCAGUUAUUGAUUUGAAUUUUUGAACUUUUUAGUAUGAUUUGAUUCUAUCGAUUUUGGAAUUUGAAGUAUACUGAGAAGCAGGAUUUGUUUGUUCUUCUUUUUGUUUACAACAGUUUCAAGUUAUUACUUUUGCUGGAACUCCUUGAUUAUGUUUAGUUGAGUUUUUUUGGUUAUAAUUGAAACGUAAUAUUUAUUUAUCUCAAAAUUGCUGAUUUGUUUACUUAUGCUUUUUUUGCUGACUAAAGACAUUAUUUAUGAAAAAGAGAUUACAAUAGCUAAGAAGGUGAUAUGGAAGGAAAGGUUAUCCCCUCAGGAGUUUUAGAUCGGACUCUAUCCUUUCAUUAGACCAUCCCAGUCUAUUAUCACCUCUUCAAAUCUGUCCCCUUUCCAUUUUUCGGUUGUUUGUGGGCUAUAAUCAAUGAGUUACCAUGAUACGGCUUAUUGGCUAUAUAGAGGUAGCAGUUACUGUAUUACCUAUUCAUACAAUUUUUUGAGGGAAUUCUGAUUUUAUCUUUUCCUAAAUUAGGUAGGAGCCAGUGUUUUCACUUUCGUUCUAAUUUCUUAAAAAGUAGAAGCCAUCCUCGAAAUUGCUAUCAAAAGACCUAGAUGGACAUGGUUUGCGUGCAAUUUAUAAUUCCAAUUAAUUUUUUUAGAUUCUCUCUAGGAAUCUUAAAUUAACUUAUUUUAAUAAUCUUAACUGUCAUGCUAUGAGGAAAAUCCAAACGAUUUUCUUCCGAAACCAGCUAUCAAAUGCAUCAUCCAUCUGGAUUUAAAAUUUUAAAAUUGUGUUUGUGGAUGUGGAAGUCUUUAAUUUUGUUUAUACAUUUUAAACGCGUUUGUUAGACCAAUAAAUCUUUAAAUAAAUGCACAGCAGAAAAAACUCACCUAGAAUAUAGAACCGUGAUAUGGUGGAAAUCGACGUUAGGGGAAGAGAGAGCAAGAGAAAAUAAGAGAGAUUUCAAAAAAUAAAAAAAUAGAAGGACAGACAAAAAAUUAAAAAUGAAAAAAAGGGAUAAACACGAGUUUGAGUUCCACCUAACUCUAAAUGGACCUCCUAACGUUGGUCGAUGAUCUAGUCUCUGACUCUCCAGCAAUGUCGCUGGGAAUCUGACUCUCCGACAAUGUUGCUGGGAAGCAAUCUGAAGCAGAGUGCAACAUUGCCGGAAACUACGACGGAUAAAACACUAAUUCACUUAUACAGAAUCUAUGUGAUACAGUGAUAACAUAAGUUUAUGGUGGUAGGCAAGGCAACAUUGAAAAUGUAUUGGACAUAAUGGUGGUGAGAAUAAAAAAUCGCAGUGAAAAUGACGGUUAAAGUUAAAAUUCACAUUUUGCCUCAUUGUGAUGUCGUAGAAUGACUGGAUGACGUCAAACACUCAAUCUCAACCUACGUAAUAGUUUUUUCUUAAUAAUACUAAAACACAGUUUAAUUAAUGUUCAAAACAAAUACUGUAAAUAAACUCAUGAUCAAUCUAACUAUAAGAUCCAACGGUUAACAAAAGACAGAUAGAAAAGAGAGAGAAAGCCGCCAAUGUGUAAAACAAUAAGCUUUGUUGUAGAAAGGGGACCAUUUCUUCAUCACCACCAUUAAUGCCCAUUUCUCUCUCUUUUGUUCUACUUUUGCACUAAGUAGUAAUUAAAGUGAAAAAAAAGGAAAGAAGAAGAAGAAGAACAAGGUCAACCUUUUUCUCUGUUCCCUUCACCCAAAGUGUGAAAACUCUGAAUAAAAAAAAAAGAACUUUUCUUUCUUUCUUUCUUUCUUUCUUUCUCUUUAUUUCUAUUUUUGUUAUCAAGAAAUUUGCAAAAGAAAUUGUUGUUUUGGUUGCAAAAAUGGAAACCAUUUAUGAUUAAGUGCUUUUUAUUAAUGAUUCUGUUGUUAAAGUACUCAUCAAUGGAUGGGUGAAAGUGGAUGAUAUUGAUACCCAAGUUUUGAAGAGAAAGUUCUGAACUUCUGUUUACACCUUUAGAUCUGAGAAUUUUUCUACUUAAAAUUCCCACCUUUUUUAUUUCUUGAGUAAUCUUCAAGUAGUAAAACUGGGGAAGGAAGGAGGAAAGGAGUUUGUUCUAAGGGUUUUUGUUUCCAUGGGGAAUUGUUUAGGUACUCGAGUUAAAGCUGAGAGUCCAAUACAUACAGGUAAUCUAAUCAAAUCAAAUCAAAUGUCACUCACUCUUGAUGAGUUUGUUUUAUGUAUAAUUAGUGUUUUCUUCCAUUUUUAGUAACUGGGGUUUGAUCAAAACUGUUUUUUCAGUUAAAAAUUUGAUUUUUAUUAAUUUUUUUAUUUGUUUGAUUCUUUCUAUUUUAGAUAUUUGAAGUAUAUUCAAAACCAGGAUUUGAUUCUUCUUUGUGUGGAGUUAAUUUUGCUGGAACUCCUAUAUUCUGUUUAGUUGGAAUGUUUUUGCUUUUUAUAAAUGAAAUCAUUAAUUUUUUGUUUUACCUUAAAAUUGCCGGUAGAGGUUGCUAAUGUUUUCGGACUGAUUUAUAAACCAUGGUCUAAUGCCGGAUAUGGAAUCACCAUUGGAGAGGAAUUCACAUGUUUUUUUUCUUCUCUUGUAUAUGUUUAGGGGAGACAGCAAAAUACGUUAGUAAUGAUGGAAAAGAGCUCAACUAUGAUUCAAGUGGGAAGUACUCGUCAAAUUCUGUGCCUCCAACUCCUCGGAGCGAGGGUGAAAUAUUGCAGUCCUCAAACUUGAAGAGUUUUAGCUUUUCUGAACUAAAAAAUGCCACAAGAAAUUUUCGCCCGGAUAGUGUGUUAGGUGAAGGUGGCUUUGGUUCGGUGUUUAAAGGCUGGAUUGAUGAAAAUGCAUUAACCGCUACCAAGCCAGGAACGGGCAUUGUUAUUGCUGUUAAAAGGCUCAACCAAGAAGGAUUCCAGGGGCACAGAGAAUGGUUGGUGAGUAUUAAUAUCAUCACUGAUAACUACCUCGGCAAUAUUGAAACUGUAUCUGUCUUUGUUUUGUAUGCAUGUCUGCAUAUUAAAAUUAGUUAAGGCAGCUCAGUGAUUUUUAACUCGUGUAGGUGGAAGUUAAUUAUCUGGGGCAGUUGUACCAUCCUAACCUGGUGAGGUUGAUUGGGUACUGCUUAGAGGAUGAGCAUCGGCUACUAGUAUACGAGUUCAUGCCACGAGGAAGCUUGAAAAACCAUCUCUUCAGGAGUAGGUUUUAACAUUUUCUUUGAUAAUCAAUUGAGUUUUUAUUUAAUCUAUUUCCUUUACAUUGAACAUUACUGUGUUCUUAGCAUGCUGAUUUUUGAAAAGACAUGGAAGGGGAAUGUGUCAUUAAAUUUGAGUUGUUUGUGAUACAGGAGGUUCUUAUUUUCAACCACUUUCCUGGAGCCUCCGUAUGAAAGUUGCUCUUGGUGCUGCAAAGGGGCUCGCAUUUCUCCACAGUGCUGAAACGAAAGUUAUAUAUCGGGAUUUUAAGACUUCUAAUAUUCUUCUCGAUUCGGUAUGCCAUGUGUAUACAUACACUUUGAUAACCCCCCCUCUCUCUCUCACACGCUCGCGCACACACUCACACGCAAACACAGACAUUUUGGUUUGAAAUCUUAUUGUAUCAUUAUUAUAUCCACAAUUACAGAACUACAAUGCAAAGCUUUCUGAUUUUGGGUUGGCAAAGGAUGGGCCAACUGGGGACAAAAGCCAUGUCUCCACUAGGGUGAUGGCAACCUACGGAUAUGCGGCUCCUGAGUAUCUUGCAACAGGUAUAUUAUAUUGUUCAUGUUUUCUUAACCCCUACUGGAUCAUGUGCAAGUUCUUGCAAUAGGUUAUUGUGUCCAUCUAGGCUUGUUUGGGUAUGAGCCAAUCCGACCGGUUCCUUAGUGCUUAGUUCCAUAUGGAACUCCCCAAAAUAAAAUUCUUAUUAGUACAUUCCAUAUACGAGACAGAAAGUGGAAUAGAUUUCCGUAAUGUACAAACGUUUACAAUUGUUGGUUCUUAUGAUCUGAACGCACACUAAGUUUUUUUCUUCUAAAUCUCUUAGCUUGGUAGUUUGGAUUGAGAAUUUUCAACGAAAAGGGAUGAAACUGUUCCCUUACUUUUCCUUUCCCAAAAUAACGUGACUGCAUAGAUUGCCUUCUAGUGGGUUUAAUUUUUUCUAGCAAAUUAUCUUCUAAUGCUUUUUGCUUCCAUGAGUUCUUGAAGUUGCUGUAGUUAUCUCAAUUACAUUUCAUUUCUAGAGACAGUAAGUACAUGCAUCCCUAUUGAAAUUCAUCUUUACUUUAAUGUGAAGGUCACCUGACUGCCAGGAGUGACGUCUACAGUUUUGGUGUCGUUCUUCUUGAAAUGCUAUCUGGUCGACUAGCAGUUGACAAGAAUAGACCACCCGGAGAACACAGCCUGGUGGAAUGGGCGAAGCCUUACCUAAACCACAAACGUAAAAUAUUUCGUGUUCUAGAUAGCUGUCUUGAGGGUCAGUAUUCACUGGCAGGUGCGCAGAAGGCAGCUAACCUCGCUUUACAUUGCUUAUCCAUGGAAGCAAAGUUCAGGCCCAAUAUGGAUGAGGUUGUAAAAGCACUUGAAGAACUUCAGGAAUCCAAAGACACAAAAAGUGCCCAAAAUGAGAAGACCCCGAACCAUCCAACUCACUCCGGUAGUGGUCCGAAGUACCGGAGAAGAAGUGCAGAUGAUUCUGAGAAUGUAAAGCCAGCAUCAAAUCCUUGGCCAACUGCAUCUCCUCUAUAUGCAUAAUGUGACCGCAACAAAGUUAAAGGAGCCACAACAACAUGAUCAUAAUGAAAUUCCAGAUGGGUUGAAGGUAAACACUGAAUAGAUUUUUCUGAAGCUUGAGCAUGGACUGUACCAUGUAUGCAGAAUCAAUGUACAGUUCACGUUUUGGCUAUAAUGUACUAAUAUGAACCUUAUUGUCCGACAUAUUCUCAAGUUGUAUGUUUAGUGUUCGCAUUAUGACAAUCAAAGGAAGCAGCAGACUUGUAAGGUGGAAAAAUUAUAAAGAAAAAUGAGGUGAUGGCAUUAUACCAAUGUUCUUCAUGUUUUGUUGUAUUCUUGUCUGCUAAUACACCUGUUGCUUUGUAAAUUUGUUUUAUUUAUUUCUGGUGUGUUCUAUAUAGAGGAAAAUGCACUCUUGAGAGUUGAGUCUGUGAUUAUAUAUUUUUCCAGAUAGCCAUUUUUGUUCGCACCCUUUAGAUUUUAUUUUUUUUUAUUUUUUUUUUGAGUCUUAAUUUGUUGUGAAUUCUGUGAACCAAUAAAUGGGCUUAUAAUAUUUGCUUCAUAGCUUGAAAGCAGUGAAGAUAAAGUUGGAAAGCAAACUAGUGGAUUAUGUAUGACACUAUACCUAACAACUGAUCAGUGCAAGAUAAAGUGGGAUUUUGGAUAUUUUCUUCUUGUUAACACCAUCUUACCUUAUGCACUGGGUAUUUGUAGGGGUACUAUAUACAACAUACAUGUGGCACCAUCUCUACCGUCCAUCAUGGUACCACAUGUCAUCAUCUAAUGGACUCUCUCUUGAUGGCACAAGUUACAAAGUUAAAGCCAAUUACUACAAAGAUAUUUUCUCAUCAUUACCUCAUUAAAUGCUAUGAAUGGAGUUACAUUGUAAGCCUAUAAAUAUGAAGGCAAAUCACUCAUUCCAGAGGGGGUCUGAGAGCCUAAUGCUCCCAACACUAUCUCAUGGUGAGGUCUCAAUAUCGACGACCUCCCCAAUCUCUCAUGAUGAGACCUCACCUCUCAGGUCUCAUCUCUCUCGAGCUCUCCUCAUAAUCGAGCUCCCAUUUUGUAUCAUCACCACUACUAUAAUAAACUUCUUUCUCUCUCUCCGUGGAUGUAGGCACAAUUGUCGAACCACGUAAACAAUGGUGUUCAUGUCUCUAGUUUAUUAUUGUUCAUAUCAUUUACAUACACAUCAUCAUUCAUUAAUGUAUUAACCAACCUCACAAAAAUGGUUAAUACAUUUGGCGCCGACUACAGGGACUUGGGAUUUUCUCAAGCGAAUUCCACCCACCAACCCCACCGAACACCAUUGUUCUAAGGUUCUCAGAUGGUGAUUUUCAAGAAAUUCAUUGAAUUUGAAAAGACAGAAUUGCAACUCACAGUUGGGGGCUUGGAGCAAAUUGUUUACACAUUUACUAAACUCGACGAAAGCAACAUUAAACUAAGGCAUACAAGAAGAACUGUUUCAGUUCGCCUACUUGCAGCCAUUCAUCUCGUCUACCUGCCUUCUGAACGAGCUACCAGGACUCCCUGGAAACUAGCUGAUCAGAACGACUUAGCUACAAGCUCUUCAAAUAAAGGUCUUGCAGAGACCUUCUCACAUAUUCAGGUCCCUAACCCAACGACCUCUCAGGUCCCCAAGCCAACGACCUCUCAGGUCCCUAAGCUAACGACCUCUCAGGUCCCUAAACCAACGACCUCCCAGGUCCUUCAUGCCAGGUCCUUCCAAACCAGGUCCUUCAUACCAGGUCCUUCAUGUCAGGUCCUUCAUCGCGACCUCACCAGGUCUAUCAACGACCUCCUCAACUUACAGGUCUUUCAACGACCUCAAGAAUAUUUAUGCCAUACAGGGGGCUAUUCUCACUUUAUCUAAUAAAAUUAACUUAUUAUUAGCACAAUUAGCUAUUAAUGAUAUUUUUUGUAGCUCUCUCUAUGUGCAGGUCACAUGAACACGACCUCACUCCCCAUGAGCUAUUUUUGCACAAAUGUACCACAUUGCUUUCACUGAACUCUUUACAAGUGAAAUGCUUGAUAUACAAUACGGCCACCCUCAUUGACUAGUGAGUCACUCGUAUGCGGGACGACCUCAAACACAAUUCUCUAGCCACACGCCUGGUCGAACGCAUUCACUCUCAACGCAAUGCAGACCCACAAAGGCCACAUGCCCGAGAAUUGUCAAACAGGUCUCCACGCUGCGACCAUUCACUAGAUCGGGCACCAAAAGGUUCCAAGUAACUCUCAAAACACUUGGUCAACCAAUGCUAUUUCUCAAACGAGCUACAUUGCACUCCAAAGUGCCAUAUCUAUCGAAGUGUCCAGUCACAAGGCGACAAAGAUAGUACAUACAAGUCAUAAGGAAGACGUACAAUUCCAUGUAAGUCUUUUAUUGAAUUUUAUAAUGUUUCACAUGCUAACAUUAUCAGGUCUAUGCAACUCGACCACAAAAAGGCGACCACCUCGAAGCAUGACCGAGACCAACCACCCAAGCAUACAAGAAGACCCACUUCAGUACGACCUGCUUGCAGCUGUCCAUCUCGUCUACAUGCCUUCUGAACGAGCUACCAGGUCUCCCUGGAACUAAAUAGCUCGUCAUACACUAAUUCAUGAUCGAGUUGCCAUUACCACAAGGGACCUUCAUCGCAUCCUGCAAAUCUCAAUGAUCAAGCUCAUUAAAAUUUGGGGCGGAUCGACUUCGUUAAAGAACCCCAUAUUUCAUUCAUCUUGGGGGCUAGAUCGGUUCGAUUACUUCUUUUCAGCCCGAACUCCGUUCGAUCUAAAAAGAGGGGGCUUAUGUAGGGAUACUAUAUACAACAUACAUGUGGCACCAUCUCUACCGUCCAUCAUGGUGCCACAUGUCAUCAUCUAAUGGACUCUCUCUUGAUGGCACAAGUUACAAAGUUAAAGCCAAUUACUACAAAGAUAUUCUCUCAUCAUUACCUCAUUAAAUGCUAGGAAUGGAGUUACAUUGUAAGCCUGUAAAUAUGAAGGCAAAUCACUCAUUCCAGAGAGGGUCUGAGAGCCUAAUGCUCCCAACACUAUCUCAUGGUGAGGUCUCAAUAUCGACGACCUCCCCAAUCUCUCAUGAUGAGACCUCACCUCUCAGGUCUCAUCUCUCUCGAGCUCUCCUCAUAAUCGAGCUUCUAUUUUGUAUCAUCACCACUACUAUAAUAAACUUCUUUCUCCCUCUCCGUGGAUGUAGGCACAAUUGUCGAACCACGUAAACAAUGGUGUUCAUGUCUCUACUUUAUUAUUGUUCAUAUCAUUUACAUACACAUCAUCAUUCAUUAAUGUAUUAACCAACCUCACAAAAAUGGUUAAUACAGUAUUGCUUUUUAUUUAUUGUUGGUUACAACAUACAUGGCGUGGAUAAGAAUUUUUAUAAGUUGGGAACAAGAUCGAGAAUGCUAAGGUUGAAAACAAAAAGGGGAUGACAUAUAUGUUUCACAGAUGGAAGAUAAGAGUUAGAUUGAAGGUAGAAUAAGCAACUUGCAAGAGCAAAAUUCCAAGAAAAUGGUUUUGCUUCCCUGGCCCCAGCUCUACUAUUAUUUGUCCCCAUUAGUAGUCACAAACUCACAACUAUAGUAUAAACACAUAAUAUAUGGUUUCAAUAUAUAUAUACUAGUUGUACCCGUGGCUUCGCCACGUUAGUUUCUACCAACCGUGUAAUGAAAACUUUAACAUUGUAAAAAAUUUGUCCACCCUUUUUUUCCACUCUGCAAUCAAACACACCCUAAUUGAUUUGAAGUUGUAAUUGAUUUGAAGUUGUGAAGGAGUCGGCUUUGAAGUGCAGGAAGAUUGGAACAAAGGAAGAAGAAGAAAAAGAAGUUUUAAUAUAAAAAUUUAUACACAUAAUUUCCUUGUUAAAUUUCUUUAAUCUAAGCCUCCUAUCAAAAUUUCACAUAUGGAUCUCAAGACUAUCCUAACCAUUGAACACAACUUAAGUUUGGACCCAAGCAUUGAUUUAAUCUCACCCACAGAUCUACUCUCACAUAGAUCGCAAGACGAUCCUAACCAUUGAACACAACUUAAGUUUGGACUCAACCACGGAUUUAAUCUCACCCAUCUAUUAUUAUCAACACAUCUCUAGAUGACCUCAAGGCUAUCCUAACCAUUGAACACAACUUAAGUUUGGACCCAACCAUUAAUUUAAUCUCACCCACAGAUCUAUCAUUAUCAACACAUCUCAAGACGAUCUUAACCAUUGAACACAACUUAAAUUUGGACCCAACUAUUGAUUUAAUCUCACCUUUAGAUCAACCCUCAUGCACAGAUCUCUAGAUGAUCUAUACCCUUGUUUGUUUUAUCAAGACAAACUGUGUUUGUGCCAUCCUCACAAACACUUAUAUGUCUGAAAUUUGAGAGAGUUAUACUUUUAACUAUGUUGUUUGGUUACACUUGAUCACCAACAGGCAACAGAUCGAAGCUGAAGAUGUAAGAAAGAACACUUGCAUGUGCCUCACGAUAUAUGAUACUAGUUGUACCCGUGGCUUUGCCACGUUAGUUUCUACCAACAGUAUAAUGAAAACAUUGUAAAAACUUUCAAUGAAAUCAUAACUAAAAAUUUUUGUUCACGCACUAAAUCCAAGACGAACACAAAAUUAUCAUAAUUUUUCGUUAAUGAAAUUUUAAAAUUACUGUACGAAAGCAUUGGCAAUCAAAUCAGUGACCACUGCUAAUGCUCCCUCAAAAGAAUUUAAUGAGUUUCGUAAAAAGCUAGUGGGAGUGACGACUAUGACUUAGAAUUAUUUGCGAAGUUGGUCAAAGCACUGGAGAUUGGCAUGGCUAAUGUGGACUCCUAUUGUGCCUCCAACUCCCAUGGUGCCUCCUAGCUUGUUUUUUACCUUAGGAUAUGUUGCAAUUAUUGGUGUUUGUUGUGACCAGCGAAACUGAGAUCAUGAUCAUGAGAACGUUGUAUCCUUUUUAUUGGGAUGUGUGCCACUAUUUAUCAGAUGUACAAAUUACAUUGCUAACCUUUAUAACUUCCUCUUUUACUUAAUGGUGUUAAGUGACAUGAUAUCAAGGUGUUAAGUAAAGAUAAUUUCAGUGGUGACCUGACAAAAUUUGGUGGCAACGGAAUCAAUUUUUUCUAUUCGAAAUGAACUGCAAUGACUUGUAUUGAUUCAGUGUUAUGGUUAUUUAUUUAAUAUAAUGUGUCAUAAAUGUAUUGGCACAAAAUUUUAAUUUUACUGGCACCUAACUUAAUCACAUAUAUGUUUUCAUCAAUGUUGUCACCCUAAAUAUGAUGUCAUCAAAUUCCACAUUAAUUUGAAAGAUUUGGUGCAGAACCAAAUGUUUCUUAUAAAUUUGUAGUUUGACGUACAAUCAAAUUCAUCAUCAUGAAAUAUUGAGUACAUUCCACUUUAAAAGGAAUCAAGAGAGUAAACAUGUACUUGAAAGAGUAAAUAAAUAAAAAAUGUAAAUGGCCUAAAUCCAAUAUGGUGACUGACAUGAAUUGUUGGAGACAUUUUGAGGUUCAAAUCCUCGAUAUUAUUGAUAGUAAAUCUGGCGGAACCUCUGAGCAUGAUUUUGACACAUACAUUAGAGCAAGUGCAUCUUCUAAACAACUUUUAGUAUCAUCGCUAAUCAUUCCAGUUGUCAUUUUCUUCAAUUCCUCUUGUGUAUAGAUGUGGAUCUUGGACACGCUAUAAUAGAAGUCAUUGCAAAACACCUUACUCAUUAAAAGAGAACAUCAUUUGCAAGUGUACUUCCUAGAUGAAAGAGAAAAGCAAUCAGAUUUUCAUCCACGUCUGAAUUCAAAGUCGACACAUCUGAAGUGUGCAAAGUAUUACAGGGAUGAAGAAAUAGAGUGAAAUGUAUCCAAAGAGUAAAUGGUUUAAACUACAAGUAGCAGUGGUGAGAUUGUAUCUUAGUUCCCUAAUAAGCAGCAAUAGAUAACCAUGGUAAAACAGAACCCCGAUCUGAUUAAUCAACCCAAAGGAAGACUUUUAACUACAGGUGGAUAAGAAGUACAAAAUUCAACUUUUUCAAAGAGAUUUGUACAAAAAAAAAAAAAAAAAAAAAAAAAAAAAUUAAACAUUAAAUAAAUAAAUGAAUUUCCCACAAAAGUAUACACUCAGAAAUAAAAGGUAGAACAAUAUACUCGAUUAUAUUUGAAAAUACUAAUCAUUAUAUAAAUUUUUUUUCACAAUUAUGUACUUUUAAUUUAUACACUCUGGACCCAACCAUUUAUUUAAUCUCACCCACAGAUCUACCCUCACACAGAUCUCAAAACGAUCCUAACCCCAAAUUUAUACUGUGGAUCAAUUUGGGACAAACACAGUUUUAUAAUUGGUACUUUUUAGAGGGAUUGACGGAUUGUGCAGGGAUUGAAUAUCAAAACCCAUAUGUGUUAUUGUAAAAAAAAAAAAAAAAAAAAAAAAAAAAAAAAAAACCCCACAAUUUAGGAGGUCUAGAAUUAUAUUAUAUAUGUCUUUUAUAAAAACCGCUACAGUUAUCUAAUCUUAUAAUUACAGACGGUGUAGACUCAUUAUAUAAUUAGGUGAUCAGAAAAUAUGUGCAGAUCUGAACUAACUAAGUUGUCCCUCCAACUGACCUGUCAGAACCCCACAUAAACAGUCCCAGACUCCCUCUAUCAUAGACCUGUCAAACCCUCAUUUGCUAGUCUGCCUCAUUAGUAAAUAUCACUCAUUUAGUUGUUAUCUUCCCGCAAAGUUUGGCCAUUUGAUUACAACGAAUGAAGUUCAUUUUUUUUAUUCUUCUGGGAUUUAGGAGAGGCUUAGAGAUUUGCAUUUAAACUUAGAUCAUUUACUAUCUUUCUUUCGAUAAUUAGAAUUAGACUUUUCUCUGAUAUUUACAUAAAUGAUGAAUGAGAUACCUGUACACGAUACCUUUGGUUGGUACUGUACUCUGAGUAUGAUUUUUUCUAACUCUUCUAGAAGCUACUUGCAUUUGUUUUCUUCUAUUUUUAAAGAGGGGAAACAUGUUUAAUAGUUUGUCUAUCAUAUUUUUUCUAUUUUGACCUACUGCCCAUAUUUUGAGUGGAUACAAUAGCUUGUUUAGAGGAUAAAGCUAUAUUAUUUAGAGAACAACAAUCAAUGUUUUAGCAGACAAGACCCUUACAGUAUAUAGCAAAAUUAUACUUUUGGUUGGUCCAAACUGAUCCAUUUGUAUAUUGUGCUUAUAUAGAGUAGAAGAAAAAAGAGAAGAUGAAACUGCACGUGUCUCUCGAAUUAUAAUUACCUCUUAAGAUUUUUCUAAUAUUCACGUUCAAGUACAUAGCGCAUCACACUCUACCACUGAGUUUUCUUUCUUUGGACGUCUCAAAGAUCGGAUACCAAAAUAUCCAAAAACUCUUUAUUUUAGUAGUUAAAUUCAACUUACUGAAUGUUUAAAAUUAUUAUACUGUUGAUAUUAGUAAAUGACUCGAACGUAGUGUAGUUCUGACAUUUAUAUCUUCUUUUAGCUAAUUUUAAUUAAUUGUGUACGAAGCUUUUGGAAGAUUAAUAAUAUGAUUGAAAGAAGAGUUAUAGUGGUUGAGAUUUCAUUCGAAUAAGUUGUUCCAAAAGUUUUCAAACACAUGCUUUACUAAUUAAUAAGAAAACUUAGAAUUAGGGGUAGGUGAGAAUGUAAGAUUGAUACUAAAUUAUAAAACUGAGGGUAGGUAAGCUUGAUUCUGCUAUGUCUACAUAGAAACUGUUUGGGAGGCAAGGCACAAUAUCAAACCCAUCUAUGUUGACCUUUUUAAUACUAUUUAUGAUUUGUUUGGAAUGCCCAUUAUGGCAUUAUCAAACCCAUUUAUGUGGCCCAAUAUCAAACCCAAGCUUUCGGCCCAAUAUAGAUUGAAUUUGAGCCUCAUAUCAAAGUUUCACAUACGGAUCUCAAAACGAUCCUAACUAUUGAACACAACUUAAGUUUGAACCCAACCAUAGAUUUAAUCUCACCCACAAAUCUACCUUCACACAGAUCUCAAGACGAUCCUAACCCUUGAACACAACUUAAGUUUGGACCCAACCAUGGAUUUAAUCUCACCCACAGAUCUAUCCUUAUCAACAGAUCUCAAGACGAUCCUAACCAUUGAACACAACUUAAGUUUGGACCCAACCAUGGAUUUAAUCUCACCCACAGAUCUAUCCUUAUCAACACAUCUCAAGACAAUCCUAACCAUUGAACACAACUUAAGUUUGGACCCAACCAUUGAUUUAAUCUCACCCACAGAUCAACCCUCAUACACAGAUAUCUAGAUGAUCCAGACCCUUCUUUGUUUUAUCUAAACAAACUGUGUUUGUCCCAUCCUCACAGUAUAAUAUAGAUAUGCAGUCGGUUAUUUCACUGGAUUGGGUUGGGUAUAUUGACGAAUCUGAGGCUCCGAGAACAACUCAGACGGAGUCCGUUGGAUUGGGUUGGGUAGAUAGAAGUCUAUUAAAAGCCAUUUGGGCCCAACUAAAAAGUCCAUUUUAAGGCCUAGUUCGAAGCUCAAUAUGUUUUGGGAAGUCGGUCUUCAACCCAAGUCGGUUUUAUUACUUUUUUUUUUUUUUUUUACCAUACCAGUGAAUCAGUGAUACCACACAGAAACAGACGUGCAGAGUUAGAAAGAUUACCCUAGUCUUGAUGAAGAUAAGAAGCGCCGACUUGAAAAAAGAUGGGAUGACGGUACAGACAAAGAGAACGCAUCAUGGGAAUCUGAUAAAGGUAUAUAUGACUGUAGAGACAGUGAAAGAGGGGAAAAGAGUUUGGAUUCAGAAAAGAUCUAUGAAUGGGAAACUGAUUAAGAAUAACUUAGUAACAAUAGUCAAUCUUAUGAAGAAGAAGGAGGAGAAGAAGAAGUUUGAAAAAUCAAAAAGAACGACAAUAAAGAAGAAGAAGAAGAAGAAGGUAGAUAAAGCAUUGUCAGACAGUAAGUCUAAGGAGAAUGAUCAACCAUGUAGUAGCACCGAUGCUUAUGCUACUGUGCCAUGCCCAUCAUCAUCGGCCAUAGCCAUUGCUCAAGACGAAUUCAGAAAUCUUACUAUACAUGGGGAGCCAGAGUAUAUGUGGACCGAUAUAUGAUAUUUUUUUUUUUAAAUGUUUGAAAUAUUUUCUGCCCAUCACAAUAACAUUAUUAUAGCUGAAUAGUGGAUGUGGAUGAAUGGAAUUGACGUUGAUAUGCUAAUACUUAACACGGGAAUUAAGUCAUGUUAUAUAUAUACACACUUACUUACAGUGUUGAUUGAGUAAGAUCUAUAGGCCUAACAUCUGCCGAAUUUGUUUUUGGAACAAACCUUAACGCUAGAUUGGUAAAUUACUUACUCCAUGUCUCCAUCCCUUAUGCUUUAAAACCUUUUUUUUUUUAUAGAUUUUAUUGAUAUAGGUAAAAAGUAUUACAUACUAGGUACAUAAGACAUGACGGUAGAGCACUUAAAAGCAAACUACUCUGAGCUGCCCUGGCAUCCCAAACAGAAAUUAAAGCUUGGAUGCUGACCAUAGAAGAUUACACGAGGACCUAUGUUAUCAUAACUCCAUGUCCCCGUGUUUGUAAGUUUCUUGCUCUGACAAGGUAGCCAUUCAGCAGUUCAAACCAACAAGUCACCAGAUCAGGAAAACCUGUAAUGUCUUCUGCCAGACGAGCUUCCCAACCAAUACCAUAGAGUAACUUUCACCUCAUUACAUUUUCUUUCAACCGAACACAAACUUGUUGCUGAAAAUGAGAUCAUUUUACUAAUGCAGAACCCAUUCUUGUAAUUGAUCUGUCGUAAUUUGUUGAGAACAUAAUCGACUGGAACAGUACUGUGAACUUGUGAAGACAAAACCCCGGGCAUCACGUGAUAGAAACAGCCACAAACACAGCGUUAUCAGCAUUUUGUCUUCAAAUUGUGAAAAAUCAAGCACCUUUGGACCUUUCCUUUUCUUCAUUCAAUGCAAACCUCCAUAAUUUUUAGUACAACAUACCUCCUUCUACAUGCCAGCACUGUAACAGUAAAUUUAAUACAAAUUACUCCCCAUGAAAUUCUUUACACAUUCCAGUGCUUUGGAUCAGUUUGAUCAUGUGAUACUGUGAUCGUUAAAAUAACCAAAAGGGGCAGUAACAUAGAGAAUGAGAUUUUGUGCUUUUCACUACUAUUUAUAUUCAAAACUGACACAUGAUCUGAUAAGGGGCCG